rnacentral:lncRNA from 1 species
CCACCCCUUCGACUCAGUCUGGAAGUUUCACCAUGUGUCAUUAUCCUUGUUUAUAUACAAAGAUUAGAUGCAUAUAUAACAUGUAUAUUAUGAAUCUAACUUAAGAUCACAUAUAUUAUUUGCAAUAAUAUAAUGUAAACCCAUAAUGUAGGCACAUAUCAAAUAGUCAAAAUAAAUAUUUGAUAAAUUAUGAUCAAAAUUAUCUAAAAUAUGUAUAAUUGUAAGCAAUCCAAUAUGAUAACACCUUACAUAGAAACUAAAUUUAAAUAUGAG